CAGUACCGUUCAGGGUGACAGAAACAUUUUCGAAAAGAGAGGCUAUAAGCGGGAUGAUGAAUCCGACCAUGAUGGUGUUGCAGAAAUUUAUGUAUGAUGUAGUUAUUGUCCAGGGAUCGAAACACCAUCAUGGUCAGAUCCGUCAUCCCACUUAUGUUUUCUUAGGUCAACAAAUAUGGACAAUUGAAAAGUGAAGCUC